rnacentral:rRNA from 1 species
GAACCUUACCAAGGCUUGACAUACACCGGAAACGGCCAGAGAUGGUCGCCCCCUUGUGGUCGGUGUACAGGUGGUGCAUGGUUGUCGUCAGCUCGUGUCGUGAGAUGUUGGGUUAAGUCCCGCAACGAGCGCAACCCUCGUUCUAUGUUGCCAGCGCGUUAUGGCGGGGACUCAUAGGAGACUGCCGGGGUCAACUCGGAGGAAGGUGGGGAUGACGUCAAAUCAUCAUGCCCCUUAUGUCUUGGGCUUCACGCAUGCUACAAUGGCCGGUACAAAGGGCUGCGAUACCGUAAGGUGGAGCGAAUCCCAAAAAGCCGGUCUCAGUUCGGAUUGAGGUCUGCAACUCGACCUCAUGAAGUCGGAGUCGCUAGUAAUCGCAGAUCAGCAACGCUGCGGUGAAUACGUUCCCGGGCCUUGUACACACCGCCCGUCAAGUCAUGACAAG